rnacentral:rRNA from 1 species
UNUGACUUGAGUGCAGAAGGGGAGAGUGGAAUUCCAUGUGUAGCGGUGAAAUGCGUAGAUAUAUGGAGGAACACCAGUGGCGAAAGCGGCUCUCUGGUCUGUCACUGACGCUGAGGCUCGAAAGCGUGGGUAGCGAACAGGAUUAGAUACCCUGGUAGUCCACGCCGUAAACGAUGAGUGCUAGGUGUUAGGCCCUUUCCGGGGCUUAGUGCCGGAGCUAACGCAAUAAGCACUCCGCCUGGGGAGUACGACCGCAAGGUUGAAACUCAAAGGAAUUGACGGGGGCCCGCACAAGCGGUGGAGCAUGUGGUUUAAUUCGAAGCAACGCGAAGAACCUUACCAGGUCUUGACAUCCCGAUGCUAUUCUUAGAGAUAGGAAGUUACUUCGGUACAUCGGAGACAGGUGGUGCAUGGUUGUCGUCAGCUCGUGUCGUGAGAUGUUGGGUUAAGUCCCGCAACGAGCGCAACCCUUAUUGUUAGUUGCCAUCAUUAAGUUGGGCACUCUAGCGAGACUGCCGGUAAUAAACCGGAGGAAGGUGGGGAUGACGUCAAAUCAUCAUGCCCCUUAUGACCUGGGCUUCACACGUGCUACAAUGGUCGGUACAACGAGUUGCGAGCCGGUGACGGCAAGCUAAUCUCUGAAAGCCGAUCUCAGUUCGGAUUGGAGGCUGCAACUCGCCUUCAUGAGGUCGGAAUCGCUAGUAAUCGCGGAUCAGCACGCCGCGGUGAAUACGUUCCCGGGCCUUGUACACACCGCCCGUCACACCACGAGAGUUUGUAACACCCGAAGUCGGUGAGGUAACCUUUUAGGGGC